UUCUCUCUCGCUCUGCGCUGUCGCUAUGGUCGGUCGGUGGGGGAUGGUGGGCAGUGCUCCCAUUCGGAAUCCACCGCCAUCCACCGUCCUGGAGCUGUCUGUCAAGCUGCAGGUAGCAGGACAGAGCAGCUGCAACACCCCUCGGGUGUCCGUGUGCGCUGUGGACAGAGGCUGAGAUGGGGAAAUGACCGCGUCUGUGGGCGGCGGUGCCUCUCCAGGGUGUCCGUGCGCGCUGUGGACGAAGGCUGAGAUGGGGACGUGACCGCGUCUGUGGGCAGCGGCGCCUCUCCAGGGUGUCCGUGCGCGCUGUGGACGGAGGCUGAGAUGGGGACGUGACUGCGUCUGUGGGCGGCGGCGCCUCUCCAGCGCAGUUCCUCGAGUUCGGAAGAAGAGGAGAGGACUCAGAAUUGGAAUAGUCCCACAGAGCUGCAUGAAAACAAAGCUGAGUGGAGCGGAGCUGAUGACAUAAUAAUGUUUUUUUUUAAUCCAAGAAAUAUCAGUCCUUUUUUUUUGAAAAGUUUUUGGUUUGCUUUUAUUGUUUUUUUUUGAUUUGGGGGUUCUUUUUUCAUGUAAAUAAAUGUCUUUUCAAUUUUUCUUUGUAUCAUGCUUACUCAGCAAGAGAGCGGGAGGUCCAGAUUAUAUUUUUUUACUCCUUGUGAGUAUAUAUAUUAACAUCGUUAUCCUGAUCUCUUUGCACCGUGUGUAUAAUCACUAAUGUUUUGUAUAUUAAUUUGAAAUUCAGUAAAAAGAUUGAAAAGAAAAGAAAGCUGGAGCUCAAAGCCUGGCGUUCACAUUGUUACUGUGUGCUCAUUAAAACAAGUGUCCACUAACACCAACAGCUCUGCUUGGGUAUCGCAGUCGAUUCCAAAUUCUCUUUGAGAUUUAUGAUUACGAGGAUGUUGCCGGGACUCGAGGGACAGAGUUAUCUGGAGAGGGUGAGCAGGCUUGGAGGGUGUAGGUGAAUGAGGGGCGAUCUUACAGAGGUGUAUAACAUCAUGAGGGGCACGGAUAGGGUGAAUGUGCACAGUCUUUUUUCCCAGGGUUGGGGAAUCAGGAACUAGAGGGCACAGGUAUUGGUUUAUUAAUGUCACGUACCAAGGUACAGUGAAAAACUUGUCUGGCAUACUGAUCAUACAGGUCAAUUCAUUACACAGUGCAGUUACAUUGGGUUAGUACAGAGUGCAUUGGUGUAGUACAGGUAAAAACAAUAACAGUACAGAGUAAAGUGUCACAGCUACAGAGAAAGUGCAGUGCAGUAAGGUCCCAGGUUUAAGGUGAGAGGGGGGAGAUUUAAUAGGACCCUGAGGGGAAACUUUUCCACACACACACGGUGUGUCUGUAUAUGGAACAAGCUGCCAGAGGAAGUGGUUGAGGCAGGUACAAUAACAACAUUGAAAAGGUUCUGGGACCGGUGCAUGGAUGGGAAAGAUUUAGUGGGAUACAGGCCAAAUGUGGGAAAAUGGGACUAAGCUGGGCAUCUUGGACCAGCUGGGCCAAAGGGCCUGUUCCUGUGCUAUUCACUUACCAGCGAGCCUGGGACCUGUUGUCCACAGCUUUCCCUGGGUGUAACGGUGACGGCUUUGGCUCCUGCCAAGCCCUGCGGAAGUGGGUUCCAUUUCCCCUGCGCACUGCAGCUCAAUAGAAUAGUUGGGAAUACUGGGUAAGUAACAAGAAUCUGCAGCCCCUCUUUGCGUAUCCGGAGGGGGCUGCUGCUCAAGUUCUGGCUGCACUUCAGCCCAACGCUGCUGAUCUACAGUCACCCGGUGCAGCGGAGGAUCUCCUGGUGGGUCUUCUGCUGGGCCUUGGCCAAGCUGGCCGUUCACGGGUCCCGGCGGUCGAGGGUUCCAGCUGGUCCGCCUGUCUUACGUGCGCGCGUGGAUGUCCUUGGAGAGGGAGCACCCAGUCUCUGCGGGCACCCUGGUCGAGUUCCGCGCUCGGUGGACCCCUCGGGAUCGGGAGUGUGUCGUGGGCACUGAGAAUGCGAUUCUUCUCUGAAGUGUGCGUGGUGCGUUUCGCGGGUGUUAGCGUUAUUUUGCUGUAGUUAUGUCAAUGCU